rnacentral:rRNA from 1 species
GUGAACAGCGUGCCAGGCGGCGAGGGAAGCGGGAGGGUGCAAUCGUUGUUCGGAAUUAGUUGGCGUAAAGCGCGGGCAGGUGGUUCUUUAAGUCCUUUGUGAAAUGCCGUGGCUCAAGCCCGGAUGUGCAGAGGAUACUGGAGAACUGGAGACUGGUAGAGGCGAGCGGAAUUCCUGGUGUAGCGGUGGAAUGCGUAGAUAUCAGGAAGAACACCGGUGGCGAAGGCGGCUCGCUGGGCCAGUUCUGACACUCAUCCGCGAAAGCGUGGGGAGCAAACAGGAUUAGAUACCCGUGUAGUC